UACGGGGGGGGCAAGCGUUGUUCGGAAUUACUGGGCGUAAAGGGCUCGUAGGCGGCCAACUAAGUCAUACGUGAAAUCCCCCGGCUUAACCGGGGAACUGCGUCUGAUACUGGAUGGCUUGAGUUCGGGAGAGGGAUGCGGAAUUCCAGGUGUAGCGGUGAAAUGCGUAGAUAUCUGGAGGAACACCGGUGGCGAAGGCGGCAUCCUGGACCGAUACUGACACUCAACUACGAAAGCGUGGGGAGCAAACAGG
rnacentral:rRNA from 1 species